UUGCCGCAUCCCACGUCCGCACGCAUGCCCGCACUCCUCUUCCUCCCAUCGGGCCGGCCCACAUCGUCCCGCGCCGCGCCGCACGCCGCCUCCUGCUCCUCCUCCUCCCAUCGACUGCCACAGCACGGCCGGGCCGCCGCCGCCACGCUGCCCCCCAUCCUCCCGCCCCGCCGUGCCGCUCGCCGCCGCUCAGCUUCGCCCCGCCCUCCGCUGCCGCUCAGCUUGACGUGAAUCGCCAUUGGUAUCGAGUGAAUACGGCGGCGGCGUGCGUGAGGACAAGCUAGGGGAGUACGUGACUUAAUUUUGUCUGAUUUGUUUCUGGCUUUCUUUCCUUUUACCGUGGAGUCAAUCAAUCAAGGAUACGGCUCAAGGAAUCAAUCUCGUGUAUUUUAAUAGCCGUCAAUGCUCCUCACCUCCCAAAUCGUCGAUCCAUGGUUCCGGCGCAGGCCCAGAACCUGACAGACUCUUUGGUUGAAGCCAAGUCUAACAUUGUCGUUAAGGUUAGCUAUUCAAAUAUAUCCCACUUGAGCUACAACACCAAUCGUAGUUAAGAUGACUGUGACCAUAUAAUGGAGGGAGCUUGUCAAAUUUCAACUAAAUAUGAAGCCUGAUAUCAAAGACUUGGAAAUGCUUCUCGAAUCUUCGUCCAGGCUGGUGGCACACUGAACAAGUUAUGCCAUUACUUUUGCAUGCAGUAAUCUUGUUCGUGCCUUUGGAAGCAACGAGAUUUGUCCAGACUGAAACAAAUGCAGCAAAGAAGAUAUUUGCUAGAGGGAAACAUGUGCACUGCAGUUCUGUUGAGCGAGAUUAAGUCGGGUGCACAUUUGUUUGGGGAAUCUUAUGGGAAGUAGCGAAACUAUGAUUUGGCCGUGGAGGCGUCACCUAACAAUUGUGCUUUACAGGAGUUGGCGAUGGAAAUAGCUGGGGUGUCAUUAUUCUUGCUUGAUCUGGGCAUAUCACUGUUGACCUGCUGGAAGAGGUGUGCUGGGAGUACAACAUACAAGCUGACGUCGGUAUCGCGACAUCAUCAGGGAGGUCGGCAAUGAGAACAUGCGAUGUUCAAAUUGACUAGGGGAUGUUCGUGGCAAUGGUGAAGAAGGGGAUUAUCAGGAAUGGAAGUCUGACCAUCAUUCUCCAUGGAGCAGACGACCUCGACUAGCCUUUGAUUGAAAUAUUCAUAUACAACACACUAUAUUUGUUCGCAUUGUGCUAUAGAUCAUAUCAAUAUUUUUAAGUCAAGUCGUGUAAAAAAACUGAGGAUAACGAGUAUAGGAGAAGCUUUAAUAUUAGAGCAAUAGGGGAGGAGCAAAUGAUUGAAUGGGCUAUCAGCCGUAUAAAAUAAAACUGAGGGUAACGUCACCAGGUGGAAAACUAUAUUUGAUUGACAUCAUAACACUAGCAAGGUGAAUAACAAUGUAACAUUAUCUUUUCAUUAGUUGAUCCAUUCAACUUCUGGUUGAUAUGAUUGACAUGAUAUUUGGAAAGGGAAGUUAUUUGUUAA